UACGUAGGGUGCGAGCGUUGUUCGGAAUUACUGGGCGUAAAGGGCGUGUAGGCGGACAAGUAAGCCAGGGGUGAAAGCCCGGGGCUCAACCCCGGAAUUGCUUUUGGAACUGCUUGUCUAGAGAGGGUCAGAGGCUAGUGGAAUUCCUGGUGUAGAGGUGAAAUUCGUAGAUAUCAGGAGGAACACCGGUGGCGAAAGCGGCUGGCUGGGGCCACUCUGACGCUGAGGCGCGAAAGCGUGGGGAGCAAACAGG
rnacentral:misc_RNA from 1 species